rnacentral:rRNA from 1 species
AGUGAACGCUGGCGGUAGGCCUAACACAUGCAAGUCGAACGGCAGCACAGAGGAGCUUGCUCCUUGGGUGGCGAGUGGCGGACGGGUGAGGAAUACAUCGGAAUCUACUCUGUCGUGGGGGAUAACGUAGGGAAACUUACGCUAAUACCGCAUACGACCUACGGGUGAAAGCAGGGGAUCUUCGGACCUUGCGCGAUUGAAUGAGCCGAUGUCGGAUUAGCUAGUUGGCGGGGUAAAGGCCCACCAAGGCGACGAUCCGUAGCUGGUCUGAGAGGAUGAUCAGCCACGCUGGAACUGGGACACGGUCCAGACUCCUACGGGAGGCAGCAGUGGGGAAUAUUGGACAAGGGGCGCAAGCCUGAUCCAGCCAUACCGCGUGGGUGAAGAAGGCCUUCGGGUUGUAAAGCCCUUUUGUUGGGAAAGAAAAGCAGUCGGUUAAUACCCGAUUGUUCUGACGGUACCCAAAGAAUAAGCACCGGCUAACUUCGUGCCAGCCGCCGCCGUAA